GUCCUGAACUGCUACUCAAGGCCUGCGGACUUCGGUUCCGGCAGGCAAGCAGGAGCAGUUGGGCUACGGGCCCGAGCUGUGCGUCCAGGUGCCUGGC
rnacentral:lncRNA from 1 species